UGCCAGUUUUGAUAUCGUCAUCUCAGG
rnacentral:piRNA from 1 species